CCCCGCCCCGCUCGGGAUCCCCGGAGCUGUCCGGCCGCCUCGGUGCUGAUCCCGCCGCCGCCCACGGGCCGUGAGCAGAGCUGAGAGGGCAUUAUGAGCGGGGGCGUCUACGGCGGAGAUGAGGUGGGGGCGCUGGUCUUUGACAUUGGCUCCUUCUCUGUCCGCGCUGGGUACGCUGGGGAGGACUGCCCCAAGGCUGACUUCCCCACCACGGUGGGGCUGCUGGCCGCGGAGGAGGGGGGCGGGCUGGAGUUGGAGGGGGAGAAAGAGAAGAAAGGGAAGAUCUUCCACAUCGACACCAACGCCCUGCAUGUGCCUCGGGAUGGAGCAGAGGUCAUGUCGCCCCUCAAGAAUGGCAUGAUUGAGGACUGGGAAUGCUUCCGUGCCAUCCUGGAUCACACCUACAGUAAACACGUCAAGUCCGAGCCCAACCUGCACCCAGUGCUCAUGUCUGAGGCCCCGUGGAACACACGGGCCAAGCGGGAGAAGCUGACAGAGCUGAUGUUCGAGCAGUACAACAUUCCUGCCUUCUUCUUAUGCAAGACAGCCGUGCUCACCGCCUUUGCAAACGGACGUUCCACGGGCCUGGUGCUGGACAGUGGGGCCACCCACACCACAGCCAUCCCAGUACAUGACGGCUACGUCCUGCAGCAAGGCAUUGUCAAGUCACCCCUGGCAGGAGAUUUCAUCUCUAUGCAGUGCCGGGAACUCUUCCAGGAAAUGGCCAUUGACAUCAUCCCGCCUUACAUGAUUGCAGCCAAGGAACCUGUUCGGGAGGGCGCCCCUCCAAACUGGAAGAAGAAGGAGAAGCUACCCCAGGUUUCCAAGUCCUGGCAUAACUACAUGUGCAAUGAGGUGAUUCAGGACUUCCAGGCCUCGGUGCUGCAGGUCUCAGACUCUCCCUACGAUGAGCAGGUGGCCGCGCAGAUGCCCACAGUGCACUACGAAAUGCCCAACGGCUACAACACAGACUAUGGGGCUGAGCGGCUCCGCAUUCCUGAGGGCCUGUUUGACCCCUCCAAUGUCAAGGGCCUGUCGGGGAACACCAUGCUUGGUGUGGGCCACGUGGUGACCACCAGCAUCGGCAUGUGUGACAUCGACAUCCGCCCGGGCUUGUAUGGCAGUGUCAUUGUCACGGGCGGGAACACGCUGCUCCAGGGCUUCACGGACAGGCUCAAUCGAGAGCUUUCCCAGAAGACCCCGCCGGUAGGAGCCCACCCCGACCAGGGUCCUGGCUUAGCUCUUCAGGACCCAGUCCUUCCUCCUUCCCCAACGGCAAGCCUUCGGGCCACCAGAGCAGACCCCUCCCCCUGUGGCUUCCCAGUCUUCCCCACUUCCAGCCCUGUCCCUUCCCAGAACCCAGGUGUCUGCUUCCCCCAGCCCCUCUUUCCCCCCAGAGCAUGCGGCUGAAGCUCAUCGCCAGCAACAGCACCAUGGAGCGCAAGUUCAGCCCCUGGAUCGGGGGCUCCAUCUUGGCCUCACUGGGCACUUUCCAGCAGAUGUGGAUCUCCAAGCAGGAAUAUGAGGAGGGAGGGAAGCAGUGCGUGGAGCGGAAGUGCCCCUGAGGGCGCCCCUCAGCACCCACACGCCAGGCCGCCGCGCUGGGGUAGGGGACGCCAAAAGGCGGGGAGAGGGUUUCCCGGCUCGGCCUCGGCUCGGCCUCCGCCAGCGCAGAUCGAAGCCCCCACCCCCAUGCCCUCGUCUCUCCCCAUCCCCUCUCGUCCGCUUAGAUUGUGAUGUUUCUGGGUUGAAAGGAGUAAAA